UGUAAAAACUUGUUAAAAUGAAUAGCUGAAGGGACAGAGUCACAGAACGACAACAUGUUUUCAGUCUGGUUGCUGUCCGUCUCCUUUUGAAUGCGGUGAAAAUGCCAGAAGCGACCAAAUUUACCUCACGUAGUAGUUGGAUUUUUGGGCCUACACAACUGCCAGUCAAGUGGAAUCCACGGCCGGCGUGGUUUGAGGUGGGGGAGAAAUAACAUCCCGAUUUUUUUUUGGACCCGCAAGGUUUAGAUAUGUGGGCGUGUAGAACCUGAAGCACUAGCCAUUGCUGGGUGUAUGAGGCUGCAUGCGGACAUGACUGUAUGGUAAUUCAUCCUCAGAGUGUUGAGGUACAGAUGAUCUUGGACUUCACACUAGGGCUGCAACUGUAGCCAAUGCAGCCCGAGGAGCCACCAACACCACGACAUCUAUCAUCAACAUUAGUGCCAGCCCAGGAGACUGUGCAGUGCCACCAGCACACUUUACACCACCUUCAAUCUUAAAUGGGUGGGUGGCACUGAAUCAGUGGGUGGUGGGUUCACCUCCCACUCCAGCACUGAGGGAGUGCUACAGUAUCAGAGGCGCUGUCUUUUGGAUAAGAUGUUAAAAUGCUCUCUCCUGCAGAUGUGAACAAUCCUGCGCUCACUGUUCGGAAAAGGUUCUUCACCAGUGUCCUGCGCCAAUAUUUGUCCCUGAACAAAUAUCACUGUAAAACAGUUCAAUAGGUCAUUAACCAGUGGGAUCUUGCUGUGUGCAGAUUGGCUGCUACAUUUGUCUAUGGUAUGACUUCACUUCAAAAAGUACCCAAUUGGCUGUGGAGCACUUUGGGAGGUCCUAAGGAUGGGAUAGGCGGUACAUAAAUGCAAGCUCCUCCUUUCCCUCUUACUAGAAAUUCAGUUGAGACUACACACAGUAAUCUGGGCGUGGUCUCACCAAAACCCUGUACAGCUGCAGCCCACUUCCGAAUUCUUGUUCCCCAAUUUCUUUGUGAUAAGGGCCAACAUGUCAUUUGCCUUCUUAAUUGCUUUGCUGCACCUGCAUGUUAACCUCCGUGUUCCUUGGAUAAGUACACCCGAGUCCCUCGGAACAACAACAUUUACAAGUUUCACACAUUUAAAAAAAUUCUGUUUUUCUAUUCUUACAACCAAAGUGAAUAGCCUCACACUUGCCCACAUUAUGUUCCAUCUGCCAUCUUGUUGCCCAUUCGCUCAACCUGCAGCCUCUUUGUGUCCUCCUCAGGGCUUGCAUUCCCACUUAGCUUUUGUAUUAUCAGCAAACUGAGGCACAUUACCCUCUGUCUCUUCAUCUAAGUCAUUAAUAUAGAUUGAAAAUAGCUGAAGUUCCAGCACUGGUCCUUGCGGUGUUCACUAGUCACAGCUUGUCAACUUGAAAAUGCCCCAGUGACCCCUACUUAACCAAUCCUCUAUCUAUACUUAUAGAUUACCCCCAACUCUAUGAGCAUCUUGCUUAUUAACAUAUCUUGCGCAUUCACUUUUUGUAUAGCUUCUUACUGAAUGUCUUUCAAAAAUCCAAGUACACUACAUUUACUGGAUCACCUUUAACUAUCUGACUAGUUACAUCCUCAAAAAUUCUGAUAAAUUUGUCAAACAUGAUUUCCCUUUCAUAAAGCCACAUUGCUUGAUCAUGCUAUAAUUUUUUGAGUGCAUUUAAGGCUUCCUUAACACUAGAUUCCAGCAUUUUCUUGAUGAUGGAUGUCAGGUUAACUGACCUGUUGUUCCCUUGUUUUCUCUCUCUCUCCUUUUCUGAUUAGAGAUGUUGCAUUUGCCAAUUUGCAAAAAGAAUGUGAAAAUAUGAAAAUAAUGACAGGGAAAAUUGCACCAAGGCAAAUAGAAAAUUGGUAAAAUACCUUGAACAAUGCAACUUUAAUGUAUGUCUUUACACGAAGGGUAAUAGGAAUCUGGAACUCUCUCUCCCCAGAGGCUGGGGUGUCAAAACUGAGAUUGAUAGAUUUUUGUUGACCAAGGGUAUUAAGGGCUACGGAGCCAAGGCAAGUAGAUGGAGUUAAGAUAUGGAUAUGCCAUAAUCUAAUUGAUUAGCAGAACAGGCUUGAGGGAUCCAAUGGCCUCCCCUUGUUCAUAUGGGCAUGUUUGCCCAGAGUUAAUAAACUGAAGCGUCCGUUCCUUAAUCGUCAGAUGAGGAAAAAAGUCUCCUGUCGUGACAGAGCGAAAUCACGGAACCAAGCUUUGCAAACCACAACUUGGAACUUGUAUGGCUGACAUGAAGCAAUGAAGUUCAGCUGCCUGGGCUUGAGCUGAACCAGCUCUCACGUGGGCCUGGGCUUGAGCUGAACCAGCUCUCACGUGGGCCUGGGCUUGAGCUGAACCAGCUCUCACGUGGGCCUGGGCUUGAGCUGAACCAGCUCUCACGUGGGCCUGGGCUUGAGCUGAACCAGCUCUCAUGGGGUGCGUCACAGAUGAGCUGAAAGUUAAAUAAAAUAAGAAAUGAACUCACAUAUCUCCGACGCUUUCAUCCUGGCUUUCUGAUCUGCUGAUAACAAAGGUCCCAUUCAUUUGGCCAAUUCACUACUAGGCCUUUGCCUCCAGGUCUCUCCACGCUUGUUAAUUGGAUAUUCCCUAAAAAAAACUCAUGAUUUCGAACUGACUCAACAUCCGUGGGAGUAAGUUAGAUCCUUAAAGGUCACAGUGAUAACAUUUUCCACUGAAGCGAUUCAAACAUAAAUGGUAAUGCUAUUUAAUAGAUCAAUAGGUUAGAUCACUGGGGAUUUUGGGAAUAAAAUGCUCAUUAAUUUACAGUAGAUACCAAAUGCCUUCAAAUAUGUCACCCAAAUAUGUCAUCAAAUAUCAUGCCUCACUGAUCAUGAGGGAGCCUGGAGAGGGAACAUUAGCUGAGGCUGUUCGUGCCUUUGCCAGAUGCAGAUGAAGAUGCAUUUUCAUUUUUGGCUCUGGGAGAGCGAGCCACAGUUUGAUUUCUCCUUUCCUCACUUAACUGUUACCCAGGUUGAGGUCAGUGAGCUCAUCAAAGACGAUGAAUCUUCCUGCACUCUGCGGUUUGCAGGCUCACUCAGAAGGAUGCCCAGCUCAUGGUUAUAUAAACUGUUCCAGCACCAACCAUACUCAACAAGCAAACAUCUACAAAUAUUUCCUCCAUAGUUCACAUUUGAAUCGUUUGGAUUGUAUUACUGCCUUUCCACGUCUCUCUUCAUCUUUGAGACACUCCUAAAACCCUCCUAACAACUCCUUCUGUGCCUUUGGUGUCAAUGUUGGUCUCAUUUACUCCUGUUAAGGCCUCUUGGGACAUUUUUCCUAGGCUUAAAGGUGCUUUAUAAAUGCAAGUUGUUGUUGUAUUAAUCCAGACACAUGAACUUAAAACACCAGCUGACUAGGUCAAAGGCUGAGUGAGUGGAGCUGUCGCUGGGUAACAUGCUAAUUUUGUCGCUACAUGAAUAAUUCAUAUUCAUUACAGAAGGGAUCUAUUCAAAGGCUAUUGUAAAAGCUGUUAACUCGGCAGCCAGUAUACAUUUGGCAUGAAGUGGAGUAUUGAAUUAUCAUUGGUACUAUUGCGAGAUUAAUUCCAAUUAUUGUCUUGGAAGAUUGCCUGAGGCGAUUUCCUUAAUAAAUAUCUAUUUAGGAAAGAA